rnacentral:sRNA from 1 species
AUCUAGGGAGGAAAACAUCGAGAUUUAGUUUCCGUGUGGAUGAGUCUUAUGGAACAACCUCGUGUAGGUGAAGAUGAAGCUAGACCCAGACUGGAGCAGAAAUUCAAGCUGAGAGUAUCUGGAACCAUAGAAGUAACCAUAGAGUAAGGAGCCAUACGUGGUCAAGGGCUGACACUUUACCCCACGGAAGCUGAAGCAGGUGGAGACAAAGCUGUAUCAUUCAAUCUUAGACCCUUUGUUAAGAAAUGCCUACUUCUUGAAUGGAACUAAAUAUUGCCUUUGACAAGAUCCUGGUUACCACAAGACUCUUCUAAUUAACCCAGAAUAAUCAUGCCAUCUCACAGCAUCUCACGGUCGUGUCGUGUCAUCUCACAGAAGGGACAGUGGGAAUGAAGAACAGCCUCUGUACCCCUUCAGGACCACCAUAACUCCCCUCGGAAGAAGUCACAGUAGAGAUCACUGCGGACUCCUGUUUUGGGGCUGUCAGCGAGCCAGGGUGGGGCGAUCCUUCAGCAGCAUGGAUGUGCUGCUCUCAUUGAGAAUGUAUCUAGUGGGUGGCCAACAUACAGUUCAUCCAUUCCCGUCCAGAGGAUAAGCACUUUGCAAGCUUGCUUGGAGAGGUCUGACAGUCAAGCUGGUAGAAAAGGGUGUCUCAGUUCAUCCGGGUCACCCAAGAGUGGAACAAUUGAAUUCCUGGUGGAGAUCAAAGUUAGAUGUCAUCUUAUCGGAAGUUAUUUGGUAACACUUUCAAAGAAAUAAUGUUCAGGGGGCUGGAGAGA